UGACGAGUGGCGGACGGGUGAGUAAUGCUUGGGAACUUGCCUUUGCGAGGGGGAUAACAGUUGGAAACGACUGCUAAUACCGCAUAAUGUCUACGGACCAAACGGGGCUUAGGCUCCGGCGCAAAGAGAGGCCCAAGUGAGAUUAGCUAGUUGGUAAGGUAACGGCUUACCAAGGCGACGAUCUCUAGCUGUUCUGAGAGGAAGAUCAGCCACACUGGGACUGAGACACGGCCCAGACUCCUACGGGAGGCAGCAGUGGGGAAUAUUGCACAAUGGGGGGAACCCUGAUGCAGCCAUGCCGCGUGUGUGAAGAAGGCCUUCGGGUUGUAAAGCACUUUCAGUUGUGAGGAAAAGUUAGUAGUUAAUACCUGCUAGCCGUGACGUUAACAACAGAAGAAGCACCGGCUAACUCCGUGCCAGCAGCCGCGGUAAUACGGAGGGUGCGAGCGUUAAUCGGAAUUACUGGGCGUAAAGCGCACGCAGGCGGUUUGUUAAGCUAGAUGUGAAAGCCCCGGGCUCAACCUGGGAUGGUCAUUUAGAACUGGCAGACUAGAGUCUUGGAGAGGGGAGUGGAAUUCCAGGUGUAGCGGUGAAAUGCGUAGAUAUCUGGAGGAACAUCAGUGGCGAAGGCGACUCCCC
rnacentral:rRNA from 1 species